GCCGCUGGCAUCGUGGGGCACCUCACCCAAAUCCUUGCGCAUCACGACGAGAAUGUAGGAUAUCAAUGUUCGCGAACAUGACAUCCGUUUUGUUGAAGACAACUGGGAGAGUUCGGUGAAAUUCUACCUCCGUUUGGUGUUAUUCUUUUAUGGCGGCCCAUGUCCUGGUUGUAACAAUUAACUGUUUCUGCACUAGAUUAGCCUCGUAUAUUAUCAUGUUGAUGUUUCUUCUUAUUGAUGACAGGUUCUUGGUGCUUGGGGACUAAGCUGGGAGGUUUGGAUGGAUGGCAUGGAAAUCACACAGUUCACAUAUUUUCAGCAGGUACUGACUUUACUCGAAGCGAGCAUAAUGAUGAGUUCUAUAUGGAUGAGGCUGGAAAUGUGAAAAGACAUGGACUAAUCGAUCAGGCAGUGUACAGGGAGGGAUAUCAAAUGGUGGAAUUAUAUACUUUUUUCUUGAAUGCUGAAAUUAUAUACUUCAAAGUGGCUUUUAGGCCAACAACAACCAUUGGGGUAAGGCCUGUUCAAAACAAACUUUCUUUGUUUCCUUAAAGCAUUAACUGUAGCAUUUUUAUGAGGGGUAAGUAUUUUUUUUCCUGUGAAUACAAUUAGAAUAUUUGUCAAAAACCCGCCUUUUUGCAGCUACGAAGAAUAUUUGAAUGUUUAUCUGGUUCGAUGCAUGUCAUUUCUUUUGCAUUGUCAGUAUGAUAACAUUUACAUAUUUUGAGCUACAGUUCAUACUUGCUAAUUGUAUAAAGUUAGCCAUUCGUCUGAGAUGUUGAUUUCUGAUUUGUCUGCAUGACAUAUGUGCCAUCCCAGUUCUUCUCAGAAAUAGACAACUGAUUUUUUUUAUAUGUGGUUCUCUACAUGACAUGUGUCAUUCCAGUUUUGCAACCCAAGCUGUUUGAUAUAAUAGUUUCUAAGUAAAAUAUAAUUCCAUGACACCAAAUAUUAAUCCACAUGCUCGGUUUCAACUACAGGUAACAGAUUACUUUCGUCUUUGUUUUUUCACCCAUCGAACUAGAUACAACUACAACCUAAUCCUGUUGCUGACUUUUCCCACUCUGGUAACACAAGGAUCGUUAGCUAUCAAACUGUCCGUCCAUCAUCCAUGGGAAAAAUAAAUUCAGUAGUUCUUUGAGAUUGGUUGAAACAUUCAUUAUAUAGUUCAUAUAUAGGGAGGUCCUUUCUAGAUGAUGAUGCUUGAAAUAGUGCCAUUUGAAAUUAUGCCUAACCUUCUGUAUACCUUUUAAUUUUACAUUCAUACUAAAUAACUGGAGUAGCUGGUUGAAGAAGUUGAUGUUGAAAAUGAAGGACAUUGGGUACUAGAUAAUUUGAUAAACCUGUUCUUAAAUUGUAGCAAAACUACUGAUGAGAACUACUAUAAAUUGGUCAUAUUUAUAUUUAUAUUUUACAUUUUAAGUUAGACAAUGUUUCCUAAAUUAUAAUAUUUUGUUGUUGUUUAUGUCCCAUUGAUGUUUAAAGUUUCUCCUUUUCUUCUACAUGACUGGCGUGCUGAAAAAAUAUAUCUUGUUUCAUCUGAUUUUUGUGGUAUAAUUUAUUUGGCUACCAUAGCUAAAUAGGAUUGAAUCUAUGUACAACAACUAUUUCUUUGAAUAUAAGAAUAUUGAAUUUUUGUA